CCUUCGGUGGCGUAGUUGGUAGCGCCCUGGCACUGUAAUUAUGUGUCCUAGGUUCAAGUCCCGCUCGGAGUA